rnacentral:rRNA from 1 species
UACAGAGGUCUCAAGCGUUGUUCGGAUUCAUUGGGCGUAAAGGGUGCGUAGGCGGUGAGGUAAGUUGGAUGUGAAAUCCCGGAGCUUAACUCCGGAACUGCAUUCAAUACUGCCUUGCUAGAGUACUGGAGAGGAGAUUGGAAUUCACGGUGUAGCAGUGAAAUGCGUAGAUAUCGUGAGGAAGACCAGUGGCGAAGGCGAAUCUCUGGACAGUUACUGACGCUGAGGCGCGAAGGCCAGGGGAGCAAACGGG